rfam:Termitomyces sp. J132 unplaced genomic scaffold scaffold495, whole genome shotgun sequence.
GCCCGCCUAGCUCAAUCGGAUAGAGCGUCAGACUCUUAGGGCGGGUUUCCUUACAAUCUGAAGGCUGCGAGUUCGACCCUCGCGGUGGGCU